rnacentral:snoRNA from 1 species
AAUCCAUGCUGUGGGCACUGACAAAGUAAACCCUUGUAUCGUUCUCAAGCCUUUGAAUAGCAUUUUGAGUCCAUUUGCUGAAAAACAAUGAUCUCGUCCUUUAGCUU